rnacentral:rRNA from 1 species
CCCUGAUGCACAAGGUACUCCUAAAUACUUCUUUAAUUUUAAAUUUUUCAAAAUUUUCACUUUUCCCCUACAGUUCACCCAAAUAUAAAUCUAUUAUCAAUACACUUCUCAUAAACCUUUUAUAAUUCCUUAUUUUAAAAUAAACACUUUAAAAUUUUAU